rnacentral:rRNA from 1 species
CAGCCGCCGCGGUAAUACAGAGGGUGCGAGCGUUAAUCGGAUUUACUGGGCGUAAAGCGUGCGUAGGCGGCUUCUUAAGUCGGAUGUGAAAUCCCUGAGCUUAACUUAGGAAUUGCAUUCGAUACUAGGAAGCUAGAGUAUGGGAGAGGAUGGUAGAAUUCCAGGUGUAGCGGUGAAAUGCGUAGAGAUCUGGAGGAAUACCGAUGGCGAAGGCAGCCAUCUGGCCUAAUACUGACGCUGAGGUACGAAAGCAUGGGGAGCAAACAGGAUUAGAUACCCCUGUAGUCCCUGUCUCUUAUAC